CUCCUCAGUCCUCUCAAAAAUCACUCUCAAACCCUCUCCUUUCACGGUCUCAUCAUUCACCACCGGCGAUCGCCACAUCCUACCCCCUCAGCCCCUCACCGCCAACGCUAAGAUCCUCCCCUCUCACUCUCGACGUCACCGCUCACUACAGCAGUGAGUCGUCGCGCCCUUGAGUCGUCGCCGUCUUCCAGUGUUCGCCAUCUUCGCCGGUCUUCGCGUCUGCGCCUCUUCUUCGUUUUCGCCAACAGCUGCUCUGCUCUCCGUAGCAGUUUUAUCACUCUGUCAAGCCGUUCCUCCCUCGCUGCCUCAUCCUCGAUGGCUCUGAUUUGGUUGGUUGUGCUCGCACCGGUCAGGGUAAAACUCUGGUUUUUGUGUUUCUCAAACUAGAGUCUUUGACUCAUUUGCACUGAUUGGUAACUUAAGGUUGAAAUCAUGGAACCAAUCCCGAUGGAAAUUGAUGGUGGAAGCCAGCUCCAAGCUUCAGCUGUUCCUUUUCCAUUUGCUAGGUGUUAUCAAGUUGAAGCUUUGGAAAGGGCUCUUCGUGAGAACUCUAUAGUGUUCUUAGAAACUGGUUCAGGCAAGACUCUGGAUAUGCUUAUUUUCUACGUAAGCCUUCUCAAUACAUUGCAGUCUUCUUGGUUCCACAAGUUGUCUUGGUCACUCAGGUGAAGCACAAGUGGAAUUUGCUGCUGCUUAGGCAAAUUUAUCAAUGCUUGAUGUAGCAAGAAGCAAGCUACAGUUGGUCUUUCAACGGCUGAGGCAUAGUAUAUAGCAGCAUCCCUCUGUUGCUCCCAGGUUCUAUGGUUGAAAAUUCAACUAAUUGAUUAUAAGAUUAAGGUUGAAAAUAUUUUCCAUAUGUGUGAUAUGAGUGCCAUUAAUAUUUCUAAAAGGAAAUUAUGUGAACAUGUACAAAAGGAAAAUAUUGAUGUCCAGUUUGUUAAAUUAGACGAUUAAUUAGCUGAAGAUAAAUUGAGGAGUGCUAGGGAGCCAGCAACUUUUGUGAUUUGUAGCCAUCAAUGAUAAUUUUAAUAGUGUGAGAUUACAUCCAAUAGUGUGAGAUUACUCACUUUCUUUUGCUGGUUACAUGCUGACCAGAAUUUAAGAAAGUUGUUGGCUCUUUAGACUUUUUCUUUUGUAAAUUAAGAACUGCUUUGGGAAUUGUAAGUGCUGCUAAUCUAUUUAACUGAAUUGACAAGAUUUUCUAAGUUUUUGUCUCACAGGACGUAAAGAAAUAUUUUAAAAUUGUUUUUUACUGUAUUUAACUGAUUUUAUUCGAUUAUUUUUUGCAUUAAUUAUUUUAUUUAUUUUGAGAAAAUUUUUCCAAAAUUCUUUUCCAAAUCAAUUCCAAAAUCUUUCCAAUGAUAAAAAGAUUUUAUUUUAUUCAUGCAUCAGAUACAAAACCUUUGCAGUUUCAAAACUUUCCCAUAACUGCUUUUUACUCAGCAUUGAUCACUACCGCUCUUACCACCUCUCACCCACUUUCUAUUUAACUUUUCUAGUGUUGUGUUAUAAUGCCAAAAAGGAAGAUAAUCAUUAGGAGAGGAGGAUAUCACCCAUACCUUCAAACUCGCCGUUCUAAACCCUCUACCAUCUUCAUUGACACCACACCUGCAUCACCACUACACCACACCUCUCAACCUCCUGCUGCAUCCAUGGCGUGAACCAAGAUCUCCACAAGUUGCUUUGCUGCUGCCUCUUCUAAACAGAGUUCUUCUUGCCCUAGUUCUUUGAGGGGAAAGAGGCCAAUCACAGAGGAGGAAGAACACAUGAAGCUCCUCCUUCUCUUCCUCCCCAUAGUAUGAACUCUUGUUUCUCUCUUCACUCCGUUGUUGAGCCAAGAAUGCAUGGCCCUAGUGACUAUAAAUCUAAGUUUGCUAAGCUUCCAAAAGAUUUUUGAACUUAAUAAAUUGUCAUUUCUUUUAAAAUGAUAUUAUCGAUAUACCCCAUUUGUUGCUCCAAAGUUGGUUUCACUUGAAUUUCUGGCCGAGAAAGAAUUGGAUUUUGUUCAAAUUAGAAUGGCUAUCUUUGUUUGUUGUUCGCGGAAAAGUAUAUUCUGAUUUGGUUAGGCCAUUUAUCUUUUGGACUUAAUAUAAGUUGUCAUUUCUUUUAAAAUGAUAUUAUUGAUAUACCCCAUUUGUUGCUCCAAAGUUGGUUUCACUUGAAGUUUUGGCUGAGAAAGAAUUGGAUUUUGUUGAAAUUUUUAGCUGCCAAGAAUGGCUAUCUUUGUUUGUUGUUCGCGGCAAAGUAUAUCCUGAUUUGGUUAGGCCAUUUUAUGCUGAUAUGACCCAUCAAGAUGUUAGGAUUGUUUCCUAUGUGAAAAGCAAGGUUAUUAUCCUUGAAAAACAAAAUUGGUGAAGCAUUGAGAUAUUAAGAUUCUGGAACCAAUGUUUUUACUUCUGGGAAGUGGGACCUUGAUUUUAUUGUUAGCCUAAACACUGCCCUUCGCAUUAUUUGUGAACAAGUCUCUCUUUGCACUAGUCUCACAUCCACGCAAAACCCACGGCCCAGUCAAUAUCAAACUACAUGGCAUUAUCACUCAUUUUAUCUUCCCUUUAAAAUGGUUCCUCCAACGGUAACAGUUUGACACACUAAUGUUGUGUGCUCUCAUUCAAGGAAUUCCAAUCUCUUUUGCAUACUUAAUGAUGAGGCAUGUGUAUGAGUAUGUUAGAAGUGACAAAAUGCUGCCUUGCCCUAUGAACUCUUUUUUACAAAGUUUUUUUGUUUUAUAAUAUUGAUCUCUCUACUGAAAUUGCCAAGGAGCAUAACUCGUUCUUGAAAGGAAGUGGUGCAGUGAGAAGAAAUCUUGUAGAGCAACCCACUGAACUUCCUAAAGAUUUCAGAAUGCUGGACGACUCUCCUACAGACUCGAAGAAGAAAAAAUAGGGGGUCCAAGAUCAAGGUUCUUUCAUGCAUAGUCAAAAAUGUGAUCCAUGAAGUCAACAAACUUACUGAUUUGUUGAUAAUGCGUACCAAAAUGCAAAAGAGAGAGACGUACCUGACCUUGAAUUGGAGAUUACGAAAUCCAAGCAAAGAUAGGUAUUAAUGGAUUCGCAAUUAAAGAUCACAAUCAAGCGAUCCAUAAUUCAAGCAAAUCAGCAUAUAUAUGAGUAAUACACACUGAGAUUCAAAUAAAAUAUAUUUGGAUAACUGCUGCACUUAAUAUUGAAGAACAAAGAGGAAAAGAUUCUCUUUUCAAUGCCAUCGGCCAAAAUAUUGAUGUGUGCAAUGGCUAGUUUGAUCAAAAGAAAAAGUAUUCCAACAUUGAAGGAGAGAUAUCAAGUCUUAUAAAAGAUACAAAAGGUAAAAGAGAGAAGUGUACACAAAAAGUUAUUUAAUUUUUUGUUUGAGUAUUUGAAUUUGAAAAUGUGUUGGGAUUAGAGUGCACUUGGUUCUCUUUAUUUAAGUUGGGUUAGUACUUGGGAUAAUUUACGGUAAGUUACAAGAAUGAUUAUAGUGAAAAUUCUACCAGUAGUGAUUACAAGAAUGAUUAUAGUGAAAAUUCUACCAGUAGUAAUUGGAUGUAGGUCAUAUUGCAAUGUAGUCAAAUCAGGAUAUAUGUUGUGUUUC